CAGCCCCUCGAGUGGUGGGGAUGAUUAUUUGGCCUAAAGCGUCCGUAGCCGUCCGAGUAAGUCCCCCGUUAAAUCCAGCGUCUCAAGCGUUGGACUGCGGGAGAUACUACUUGGCUAGAGAGUGGGAGAGGUCAGCGGUAUUCUGGGGGUAGGGGCGAAAUCCUUUGAUCCCCGGAGGACCACCAGUGGCGAAGGCUGCUGACUAGAACACGUCUGACGGUCAGGGACGAAAGCUGGGGUAGCGAACCGGAUUAGAGACCCGAGUAGUCC
rnacentral:rRNA from 1 species